UAACAAAAUCCUAAUUCUAAUAGAAUACUAACAAUGCUCUAAUUAGACCAUAAUAAUUCUAAACAAGCUGAAUCAAAUUCAAAAAAAACCUCAAAGAAAUUUCAAACAAACAAUAAGAAUUCUUAAAGAAAUAUUAGAAGGAUCACAAAUAUCACUCAAAUACAUCUCAACUCAAUCUUAAUUUAAUUCUAAUUAUAAUCCUAUUGAACCUUUAGGCCAAAACUAAUUGAACCUUAAAUCCUAAUAAAAUCCUAAACCAUAAAUCAAACCCUAAACAAACCUUAAAUCAAACCCCAACCAAAUCCUAAACCAAAUCCUAA
rnacentral:lncRNA from 1 species